GAUGAACGCUGGCGGCGUGCUUAACACAUGCAAGUCGAACGAGAAGUGGAGACGGAAACCUUCGGGCGGAAGACUUUAUUUCGAGUGGCGGACGGGUGAGUAACGCGUGGGUAACCUGCCUCAUACAGGGGGAUAACAGUUGGAAACGACUGUUAAUACCGCAUAAGACCACAGCACCGCAUGGUGCGGGGGUAAAAACUCCGGUGGUAUGAGAUGGACCCGCGUUCGAUUAGCCAGUUGGCGGGGUAACGGCCCACCAAAGCGACGAUCGAUAGCCGAUCUGAGAGGAUGACCGGCCACAUUGGGACUGAGACACGGCCCAAACUCCUACGGGAGGCAGCAGUGGGGAAUAUUGCACAAGGGGGGAAACCCUGAUGCAGCGACGCCGCGUGAGUGAAGAAGUAUUUCGGUAUGUAAAGCUCUAUCAGCAGGGAAGAAAAUGACGGUACCUGAGUAAGAAGCCCCGGCUAACUACGUG
rnacentral:rRNA from 1 species